CGGUCGCUCUUUUAAAGACAAGAAUCUGCCCAGCAAUCUUUGGUGUCAUGGCAAAAAUCGGGUUUUUGGACGAAGAACUCGUUAAGAAGUCAUUGCAGAAAUCUUUGUAUAAUGCAAACGACAAGAAUACUCAUUCUAAGUCGAAACAAAAAUAAAAAUGACAUUAAGUUAUUUUCAGCGUAUAACUUUCCAAAAUGUGAUAUUUAUGUUUAUUUCUUGCUUAUUAUAUUUAGUGUUUGUUUAUUUUA